UUCACGCAUGAAUGUAAAUCGCUUUGGAUAAAAGUGUCUGCUAAAUUGUACAUA
rfam:Salmo salar isolate Sally breed double haploid chromosome ssa21, whole genome shotgun sequence.